rnacentral:lncRNA from 1 species
UAAAAUAUUUUAUCAAAAUAAAAGAAGAGUAAGAAAAUUGAAGAAAUAAACUCAAUCAAGAUAAUUGAAGAGGAGCCCUGGAGCACCGGGUAAGGUUGUCUCCCUGUGAUCUAUAGGUCACGGGUUCAAGCCGUAUAAGCAGUCAUUAAUAUUUGCAUUAGUGGUGGACUAUCUACAUCACGCCUUUUGGGGUUCAGCCGUUUCUUGAACCCUGCGCAAAUGCGAGAUGCUUUGUAUACAAGGAAACCCUGCACAAAUACGUGAUGCUUUGUGUACAAGGGACAAAUAUACUUCUUUUAAGGAGCAUAUAUAGCGCAAUUCCAUAUAAGGUAUUGUAACAUUUUUGCUAAUAUCCACGUCUAGCGAACAAAAGUGAAAAACAAAAAGAAAUUCUCUUACUCCUUGUAAAACUAAUUAAAGUGAAAAUUCAUAACCUAGCUAUUCAAUACCUAUGUGAACCUAUCUCAACUAGGAAAUUUAUGUUAGUUUAUAAAUUAAAUAAAAAGAUAUACGUACCAGGGCAAAAGCACCAGCAGCAGCAGCACCAAGUUCACCAACUUUCUCGAGAUGACUGUGGUGCUUGACUUCUUUUUCAUAAUCGACAGGACCCUCUUCCUCC